CAAUAGCGUAUAUUAAAGUUGUUGCGGUUAAAAGCUCGUAGUUGGAUUUCUGCUGAGGACGACCGGUCCGCCCUCCGGGUGAGCAUCUGGUUCGGCCUUGGCAUCUUCUUGGUGAACGUAUCUGCACUUGACUGUGUGGUGCGGUACCCAGGACUUUUACUUUGAGGAAAUUAGAGUGUUUCAAGCAGGCAUACGCCUUGAAUACAUUAGCAUGGAAUAAUAAGAUAGGACCUCGGUUCUAUUUUGUUGGUUUCUAGAGCUGAGGUAAUGAUUAAUAGGGACAGUUGGGGGCAUUUUUAUUCCAUUGUCAGAGGUGAAAUUCUUGGAUUAACGGAAGAAAACUACUGCGAAAGCAUCUGCCAAGGAUGUUUUCAUUGAUCAAGAACGAAAGUUAGGGGAUCGAAGACGAUUAGAUACCAU
rnacentral:rRNA from 1 species